rnacentral:rRNA from 1 species
AACGAACGCUGGCGGCAGGCUUAACACAUGCAAGUCGAACGGUUGUAGCAAUACAGCAGUGGCAGACGGGUGAGUAACACGUGGGAACCUUCCUAGGGGUACGGAACAACUCAGGGAAACUUGAGCUAAUACCGUAUACGUCCGUGAGGAGAAAGAUUUAUCGCCCUUAGACGGGCCCGCGUCGGAUUAGCUAGUUGGUGGGGUAACGGCCUACCAAGGCGACGAUCCGUAGCUGAUCUUAGAGGAUGAUCAGCCACACUGGGACUGAGACACGGCCCAGACUCCAACGGGAGGCAGCGGUGGGGAAUCUUGAAAAAUGGGCGCAAGCCUGUUCCAGCCAGGCCGCGUGAGUAAAGAAGGUCUUCGGAUUGUAAACCUCUUUUGCCAGGGACGAUAAUGACUGUACCGGGAGAAUAAGCCCCGGCUAACUUCGUGCCAGCCGCCGCAGUAA